rnacentral:rRNA from 1 species
CCUGAGAAACCCAAAAGAUCGAAUUGGGAGAUUCAUCGUCAGCUCAUUUUGUAUAUAUAUAUUUUAUGAUACGAGUUAUUAUUUAACGAUAAUAUUGCUUGUACAUUAAUAUAUAUUUAUUUGCAGGAUGUUGUCGGCGUGCACUUCUUCCAUAGUAGAACGUCGCGACCCGUUGGGCAUUGGUCUACGGCUCAAGUGGUAGUCUUUAAUAAUAAUUUAUUUUUUUAUUAAAGUCCCUUGAUGUUUUCUGACCAAUUACUCGGCGGUACACGUUAAAUGGUAUUAAGCCGGAUAUAUUAAUUUGGGUUUAUUCCCGUCGCAAGGGAGGSSAAUUACUGAUAUUACCGAAMUUAAUUUCGUUUAUCUGGUAUUGGGCAGCUGUUGGUUGUUACGGUGUUCUAAGAAUGGGUUWAA